ACAAAUUACACCUAGAGAUCUUGUUAAAAUGCAGAUUCUGAUUCAAUAGGUAUGGGAUGGAGACUGAAAUUCUGACUUUCUAACAAGCUCUCAGGUGAUACCCAA
rnacentral:pre_miRNA from 3 species